rnacentral:rRNA from 1 species
AUUGAACGCUGGCGGCAUGCCUUACACAUGCAAGUCGAACGGCAGCACGGGUGCUUGCACCUGGUGGCGAGUGGCGAACGGGUGAGUAAUACAUCGGAACGUACCUUAUCGUGGGGGAUAACGCAGCGAAAGCUGUGCUAAUACCGCAUACGCCUUGAGGGGGAAAGCGGGGGAUCGCAAGACCUCGCGCGAUUAGAGCGGCCGAUGCCUGAUUAGCUAGUUGGUGGGGUAAAAGCCCACCAAGGCGACGAUCAGUAGCUGGUCUGAGAGGACGAUCAGCCAGACUGGGACUGAGACACGGCCCAGAGUCCUGCUGGAGGCAGCAGUGGGGAAUUUUGGACAAUGGGGGCAACCCUGUUCCAGCAAUGCCUGGUAAGUGAAGAAGGCCUUCGGGUUGUAAAGCUCUUUUGUCAGGGAAGAAACACCGGCUCUAACACAGUCCGGGAAUGACGGUACCUGAAGAAUAAGCACCGGCUAACUACGUGCCAGCCGCCGCCGUAA